AUAAUGAGAAAGAAAUAAUGAUCAUAUUUCUUGAUUAAUUUGGUUCAGUUCUCAUCAUCUCUGUCUAUGUACCCCACUCCACUCCAAGCACAUACACAUUCCUAAGAAGACCUACUAGGUACGAGAGCCUCCAGCACAGUGACCCAAGCCCUGGACCACAGCCAUCACUACUUCUCACACCAGGACAGGGGCCUCUACAUUUGGAUAGUUCCCAGCACGCACACUGUAUAGUCAGAAUCUAAGAAUCAAACACAACACAACAGAAAAGCCUUCAAGUACUGAAGAUGGCUAUUGGAAAAAGAAGGUGGACUAGUACAUCAUCAUAGUUUAUUAGCAGAAAAUACAUCAUCAUAAUUUAUCAGUAGAAAGUUGCUGCAGAGAUCUAUGUUCUCA